GACGAACGCUGGCGGCGUGCUUAACACAUGCAAGUCGAACGGAGUGGCGAACGGGUGAGUAACACGUGGGUGAUCUGCCUUGCACUUCGGGAUAAGCUUGGGAAACUGGGUCUAAUACCGGAUAGUGCAAGAUGAGCUCGCGGCCUAUCGGAGUGUUGGUGGGGUAAUGGCCUACCAUGGCGUCGACGGGUAGCCGGCCUGAGAGGGUGUACGGCCACAAUGGGACUGAGAUACGGACCAGACUCCGACGGGAGGCAGCAGUGGGAAAGAUUGCACAAUGGGCGGAGGCCUGAUGCGGCGACGCCGGGUGGGGGAUGAAGGCCUUCGGGUUGUGAACUCCUUUAGGCAGGAACGCGGUACCUGUAUAAGAAGCACCGGCUAACUACGUGCCAGCAGCCGCGGUAAUAC
rnacentral:rRNA from 1 species